GCUGGAGAUGUAGUUCAGUGGCAGAACACUUGCCUAGCAUGUACAAGGCUCUGGUUCAAUCCCAGUACAGUA
rnacentral:tRNA from 1 species